CUGCAGGAUAAGUUGCAGUGCUGCUUGUUCAGAGCUGCUAUUUUGUUUCCCUGCACACAACUAGUUUCCUAGUGUCCCUGUCUGUCUGCGUCCCACAGCAGGCAUGAACACUUGGUCUCAGACAA
rnacentral:snoRNA from 1 species